CUUUCUAGUCCAGCCCCUCGCUUUACCCGGACGAAAGACACGGGCCUGAUUCGUCGAGUCUCACUGAGCCUUAGUCGUCGGCAGGUCCCAGGCGCGAAGUUUCUCGGCCUGGAGGAGGGGGUCGCGCGAAGUGCCAGAUGCAGGCGGGGAAGCCCAUCCUCUAUUCCUAUUUCCGAAGCUCCUGCUCAUGGAGAGUUCGAAUUGGUAAGAGAUGUGCCUCCUCCAGGAUGAGUGCUGGAGUGGGGUGGACUGGGGCGGAUAAGCCCGGGUGCAAAGCUGGCCUGGGAUGGAAGGGUUGCUCUGUCAGAGAGGACCUCACCCCCAGCAACCAGCAUCCCCCGGCUCCUAGAACCCCCAUCCCUGCAUGGCAUCUCCACCCCGGAAACACAGGGUGAGGGUGGGAGGAAGGGGGUUGUUUUUUCCCUUGGGACUGACACUUCUCCCAACACUGCUCUCCAAAGCCCCUUGGCAACCAUGUUUAAAGCAGGGUCACAAAAUCCACAUGCCCCUGGUAACUGGCAGGGGAACAGCUGGCCCUUCUCAGUUCUUAUUUUAUUUGAACU
rnacentral:lncRNA from 1 species